rnacentral:rRNA from 1 species
GUGCCAGCAGCCGCGGUAAUACGGAGGGUGCAAGCGUUAUCCGGAUUUACUGGGUUUAAAGGGUGCGUAGGUGGGCAGGUAAGUCAGUGGUGAAAUCUUCAAGCUUAACUUGGAAACUGCCAUUGAUACUAUUUGUCUUGAAUAUCCUGGAGGUAAGCGGAAUAUGUCAUGUAGCGGUGAAAUGCUUAGAUAUGACAUAGAACACCCAUUGCGAAGGCAGCUUACUACGGGAUUAUUGACACUGAGGCACGAAAGCGUGGGGAUCAAACAGGAUUAGAUACCCUCGUAGUCC